GUGUGUGUGCGUGUGGUCUGUGUGUGUGUGUGUGUGUGUGUGUGUGUGUGUGUGUGUGUGCGUGCGUGUGGUCCGUGUGUGUGUGUGUGUGUGUGUGUGUGUGUGUGUGUGUGUGUGUGUGUGUGUGUGUGGUUGAUUACUCAUCGCUGGGCUCAGACACACACAGUAAAGCCUGUGUGACUGAUAGGGUUUUCUAACACUGUGUGUUCUGAUGUUUGGUCUGUGCGUGUCUGACUGCUCGUUCCCUUUGCUCCUUUGUGCUCGCUCACUUUCUCUUUUCACCUUUUUCCUUUCUCUUGUUUUUUUAUUUGUUCUUCCUUCUUAUUUCCUUUCAUCCUGCUGGCUUUGCUCUUUUUUGCCACAUCUCCGUCUCCCGUCUUUAAUCCCUGCCUCCCUUUUCCACCCCCCUCCGUCUCUUCCUCUCUCUCUCCUGUCUGACACUGCACCUCGCUCGCCCCCUCCCUCUCUCUCGCUUUUCAUGCUCCGUCUAUCCCCCUCCCACCCUUUCCCUCAUUACUCGGUAUAAUCGGUUGUCUAGACAGUGGCUCCCCACACAGAUCACACCUGAGAGGAGAGGAAAGAAAGCGACAGAGGAGGAAACAAGAGGGAAGAGAGUGAGAAAAGAGGAGAUGAAAUGAUUUCCCUCCCCUGUAAGAUGUCUGAGGCAUAAAACGCUGACUGAAAGAGGCAGCGAGGGGGAGUUGGACGCCACAAAGAAAGACUGAAUGAGGGAAUCGCAGGAACUAAAGGGAGCAGACGGUAGUGUUUCCCUCUUGGUCGUCGACUCUGAAGCGCCACUGCAGCUGCAGCCCAGCCUCAUUUCAGGAGGACUUACAGAUACAGUCUGCACGAAGGGCCAGAACAUUUGCAUAUUUAGAUCCACAGCCACAUGCAAAUCGCUCCUACCUGAACAAUCUGUUGCUCCUAAUACAAGCACUGCUUAUUUUUUAAUGCCUAGAAAUAAAUGAGGCAAUUUGACCGUGUAACAAACUCAAAGGUGAAACAAACCAACUAACAUUUGAGUAAAUGUACUCUGUACUACUUGAGAUACUUGAAUGCUGUUGUGCAGAGCCUCCUCUGUGUUCGGCUCAGAGUAUUCACAGGAAUCGUUGGACUGUGUGUCAGACUUGGAGUCUUUCUGCCCCACAGUGAACAAGUUGAAACCCAGAACUGAUCCAUAGGCGACGUACGUCCAAUCAUCUGGGAUCUGCUGACAUCCCACACAUCUCUGCUUCCUCCUGAAGCACAUUCACCUUCUCCAAGCUCCUCUCUCUAAUCCAUCCACAUGAUUCUCUGCUGGAGGACAUCCAGCCAGCUGAGGGGACAACAGCUGCACACUGCCUCCUAGAGGCCAUUGGACGUACUGCAUAGAUGGGGAAUAUCUGAUCAGGCUGCUGCAUGAAAAUGCACAAACCCUCGUUUUGGCUGCACAAAAUGCAGGGUCCAUUCAUGAGCACAAUAAUAUCACAUUACAGCGUGUGUGAAGGCUCCUGCAGUUUGUCCUGCUAGCACCGUCUCCCUGUGGACUGAGCCACUGCCUGAUGUGCUUCAGUGGGUAGUUAUUCUCAACAUGAAGCCCCUCUACUUCCUGUCUGAGGCGUGGAACAAUCUUCCCCAGCAACAGCAGACGAGAGCCUCUGAGUGGCUGCUGGGCAGCAUGAAGGUAAGGUUUGGACCCCUCACCUCAGCCUCGUGGUUCCUUUGAACGGAUCUGAGAUGACGCUGCUGGUCGGGCUCGUCGCACUCACUGCAGUAAAGCAGCUUUGCUUGUCAUCUUUGAACUCAGCACAUGUAAAGUGAGAGAAAACUGUUAGUUUGUUCUGUUUGAUGCCUGUGGUUAUAAUGAGCUGUUACAGUAAAUUAACUGGAAACAGAGCCUAAAAAUCAUAAUUGGACUUUAUGCAAACAGAACGCUGUUAUAAAUGGGAGGAAAAGGAGCAGGAAGGAAAUAAGAACUGGAAGCGCAGCCUGUGUCUGUGAAGCUGGGGGUGAUGCACAUGAGCCAGCAAACAGCCACACGGGGUAAAGUUCAGCUUUCAGAGACAUAAGCAAUCAAGACCAAAUGUGUUAACAUUUACUUAAUGAGGUGUUGUGGUUUCAAAAGGGAAAACAGGAUCUUGCUCUAAGGUCUGGAGCUUCAAAUGUGCAGCAGAUGGACGUUCCCACCUUCAUCUGUCAUCUUCAAGGUUUAUAAUGCUGCAAGCUGUUUCCAGGCUCCAGUUAGUCGGAGCAGUCUGAACACUAACUCAGGCUUCCUUCCCGGGUUCAUGCUGCGUCUCCUGCUCCCAUGACAUCCGCUACACGUACUAGCUGACGGUGAUGUGGCCAGAGAUGCGAGGAAGAAGGACUUUGAGACUGCCCACUGUUACUGGGCAAAGUCAAAAAAGCGGAUCCUGGAGUCCCCCUGCACUAAGAAUCUCCAAGCACCUCCUCUACAGCAGCUAUGGGGGGAGCA